GUGGGGAAUAUUGCACAAUGGGCGCAAGCCUGAUGCAGCAACGCCGCGUGAGGGAUGACGGCCUUCGGGUUGUAAACCUCUUUUAGUAGGGAAGAAGCGAAAGUGACGGUACCUGCAGAAAAAGCACCGGCUAACUACGUGCCAGCAGCCGCUGUAAUACGUAGGGUGCAAGCGUUGUCCGGAAUUAUUGGGCGUAAAGAGCUCGUAGGCGGCUUGUCGCGUCUGCUGUGAAAUCCCGGGGCUCCACCCCGGGCCUGCAGUGGGUACGGGCAGGCUAGAGUGCGGUAGGGGAGAGUGGAAUUCCUGGUGUAGCGGUGGAAUGCGAAGAUAUCAGGAGGAACACCGAUGGCGAAGGCAGAUCUCUGGGCCGCUACUGACGCUGAGGAGCGAAAGCAUGGGGAGCGAACAGGAUUAGAUACCCUGGUAGUCC
rnacentral:rRNA from 1 species